rnacentral:rRNA from 1 species
UACAGAGGUCUCAAGCGUUGUUCGGAUUCAUUGGGCGUAAAGGGUGUGUAGGUGGCGCCGUAAGUCGGGUGUGAAAUUUCGGAGCUUAACUCCGAAACUGCAUUCGAUACUGCGGUGCUUGAGGACUGGAGAGGAGACUGGAAUUCAUGGUGUAGCAGUGAAAUGCGUAGAGAUCAUGAGGAAGACCAGUGGCGAAGGCGGCUCUCUGGGACGGUACUGACGCUGAGACGCGAAAGCGUGGGGAGCGAACAGG